CGCUGGCGGCAUGCCUAACACAUGCAAGUCGAACGAGACCUUCGGGUCUAGUGGCGCACGGGUGCGUAACGCGUGGGAAUCUGCCCUUAGGUUCGGAAUAACUUCGGGAAACUGAAGCUAAUACCGGAUGAUGACGUAAGUCCAAAGAUUUAUCGCCUAAGGAUGAGCCCGCGUUGGAUUAGCUAGUUGGUGAGGUAAAGGCUCACCAAGGCGACGAUCCAUAGCUGGUCUGAGAGGAUGAUCAGCCACACUGGGACUGAGACACGGCCCAGACUCCUACGGGAGGCAGCAGUGGGGAAUAUUGGACAAUGGGCGAAAGCCUGAUCCAGCAAUGCCGCGUGAGUGAUGAAGGCCUUAGGGUUGUAAAGCUCUUUUACCCGGGAUGAUAAUGACAGUACCGGGAGAAUAAGCUCCGGCUAACUCCGUG
rnacentral:rRNA from 1 species